UUACAGGUUGUAUUCUUAUUAUUGCUUCUUUCUUUGGUGGUCUAGCUGUAUGAGGUUUAUAAGUUCAUAAAGCUAGAUCAGCAAGGCAACAAGUGGAAUAGUUUUCGACGUUUACAAUG
rnacentral:pre_miRNA from 11 species